CUGUCGUCAGCUCGUGUCGUGAGAUGUUGGGUUAAGUCCCGCAACGAGCGCAAACCCUUGCUUAAUUGCCAUCAUUCAGUUGGGCACUUUAAAGAGACUGCCGGUGUUAAACCCGGAGGAAGUGGGGAUGACGUCAAGUCCUCAUGGCCUUUAUGCCCAGGGCUACACACGUGCUACAAUGGGUGGUACAAAGAGCAGCGAACUCGCGAGAGUAAGCGAAUCUCAAAAAGCCAUCCUCAGUUCGGACUGAAGUCUGCAACUCGACUUCAUGAAGUUGGAAUCGCUAGUAAUCGCGGAUCAGCAUGCCGCGGUGAAUACGUUCCCGGGCCUU
rnacentral:rRNA from 1 species